rnacentral:rRNA from 1 species
UACGUAGGUGGCAAGCGUUGUCCGGAUUUACUGGGCGUAAAGAGCGCGCAGGCGGUCGUUCAAGUCGCGUGUGAAAGCCCCCGGCUCAACUGGGGAGGGUCACGCGAUACUGAUCGACUCGAAGGCAGGAGAGGGAAGUGGAAUUCCCGGUGUAGUGGUGAAAUUCGUAGAUAUUCGCAAGAACACCAGUGGCGAAGGCGGCUCACUGGCCCGAUACUGACGCUGAGGCACGAAAGCGUGGGGAGCAAACAGG